rnacentral:rRNA from 1 species
CUACGGGGUGCAGCAGUAAGGAAUAUUGCGCAAUGGAGGCAACUCUGACGCAGCCAUGCCGCGUGCAGGAAGAAGGCCUUAUGGGUCGUAAACUGCUUUUAUUUAGGAAUAAACCCCCGAACGUGUUCGGGGCUGAAGGUACUAAACGAAUAAGCACCGGCUAACGGCGUGCCAGCAGCCGCGGUAAUACGGAGGGUGCAAGCGUUAUCCGGAUUUAUUGGGUUUAAAGGGUGCGCAGGCGGGCUAUUAAGUCAGUGGUGAAAUCCCGGGGCUCAACUCCGGAACUGCCAUUGAUACUGAUAGUCUUGAGUUUGGUUGAAGUGGGCGGAAUGUAGCAUGUAGCGGUGAAAUGCAUAGAUAUGCUACAGAACACCAAUCGCGAAGGCAGCUCACUAAGCCAAAACUGACGCUCAUGCACGAAAGCGUGGGGACCAAACAGGAUUAGAUACCCGGGUAGUC